rnacentral:tRNA from 1 species
GAGGGUAUAGCUCAAGUGGUAGAGUGCAUGCCUAGCAUGCACAAGGUCCUUGGUUCAAUCCCCAGUAUCUCCU